rnacentral:misc_RNA from 1 species
AACGCACGAGACCUGCGGACCUGCGGAGGGAUCAUUACCGAGUGCGGGCCCUCGCGGCCCAACCUCCCACCCUUGUCUCUAUACACCUGUUGCUUUGGCGGGCCCACCGGGGCCACCUGGUCGCCGGGGGACGUCGUCUCCGGGCCCGCGCCCGCCGAAGCGCUCUGUGAACCCUGAUGAAGAUGGGCUGUCUGAGUACUAUGAAAAUUGUCAAAACUUUCAACAAUGGAUCUCUAGAUC